rnacentral:rRNA from 1 species
UCCAGAGGGUGCAAUCGUUGUUCGGAAUUAUUGGGCGUAAAGCGCGUGUAGGCGGCUUUGCAAGUCGGGUGUGAAAGCCCUCAGCUCAACUGAGGAAGUGCGCCCGAAACUGCAGAGCUUGAGUGCCGGAGAGGGUGGCGGAAUUCCCCAAGUAGAGGUGAAAUUCGUAGAUAUGGGGAGGAACACCGGUGGCGAAGGCGGCCACCUGGACGGCAACUGACGCUGAGACGCGAAAGCGUGGGGAGAAAACAGG